rfam:Homo sapiens chromosome 16 genomic contig HG926_PATCH, GRC reference assembly FIX PATCH for GRCh38.
GCCGGGCGUGGUGGCUCACGCCUGUAAUCCCAGAACUUUGGGAGGCUGAGGUGGGUGGAUCACCUGAGGUCAGGAUUUGGAGACCAGCCUGGCCAACAUGGUGAAACCCCGUCUCUA